rnacentral:rRNA from 1 species
UACAGAGGGUGCGAGCGUUAAUCGGAGUGACUGGGCGUAAAGGGCAUGUAGGCGGUUAUAUUAGUCUGAUGUGAAAGACCUGGGCUUAACCUAGGAUAUGCAUUGGAAACGGUAUAGCUAGAGUAUGGGAGAGGGAAGUGGAAUUUCCGGUGUAGCGGUGAAAUGCGUAGAGAUCGGAAAGAACACUCGUGGCGAAGGCGGCUUUCUGGCCCAAAACUGACGCUGAGGUGCGAAAGCAUGGGGAGCAAACAGG